rnacentral:rRNA from 1 species
UGGGCAACCUGCCCUGUACUGUGGAAUAAUCAUUGGAAACGAUGACUAAUACCGCAUGUGGUCCUCGGAAGGCAUCUUCUGAGGAAGAAAGGAUUUAUUCGGUACAGGAUGGGCCCGCAUCUGACUAGCUAGUUGGUGAGAUAACAGCCCACCAAGGCGACGAUCAGUAGCCGACCUGAGAGGGUGAUCGGCCACAUUGGGACUGAGACACGGCCCAA